rnacentral:rRNA from 1 species
GACGAACGCUGGCGGCGUGCCUAAUACAUGCAAGUAGAACGCUGAAGAGAGGAGCUUGCUCUUCUUGGCUGAGUUGCGAACGGGUGAGUAACGCGUAGGUAACCUGCCUUGUAGCGGGGGAUAACUAUUGGAAACGAUAGCUAAUACCGCAUAACAAUGGAUGACACAUGUCAUUUAUUUGAAAGGGGCAAUUGCUCCACUACAAGAUGGACCUGCGUUGUAUUAGCUAGUAGGUGAGGUAAUGGCUCACCUAGGCGACGAUACAUAGCCGACCAGCGAGGGUGAUCGGCCACGCUGGGACUGAGACACGGCCCAGACUCCUACGGGAGGCAGCCGUAGGGAAUCUUCGGCAAUGGGGGCAACCCUGACCGAGCAACGCCGCGUGAGUGAAGAAGGUUUUCGGAUCGUAAAGCUCUGUUGUAAGUCAAGAACGGGUGUGAGAGUGGAAAGUUCACACUGUGACGGUAGCUUACCAGAAAGGGACGGCUAACUACGUG